rnacentral:lncRNA from 1 species
AAAACAUCCGAUGCACUGAAAACUCUAAUCCCCAGAAAUCUUUGACUAUAUCAAUCAAAGAAUAAUUAAAUAUAAACUAGUAUAAGAAGAAUACCUAUAGCACUAAUCUAAUUUUUAUGAGGCAUCCAAGUAUUCAUCUUCCAAUGAUGAUCCAUACAGAAAUUGAACUAAAGACAGCUCCUCCUUCACCUUACUUCAAGAGUUCUAGCCCUUAGAACUCGACUAGCCU